AUGGAGCAGAAUGGUGGCUCCUUCCUCGCCGUGCGCCGGCUCUCCGGCCACCACCACCCAUCGCCGGGUACGUGGGCGGACGUCGUGUCGGGGUCGACGGCGUGGAUCGGGAGGGGAUUCUCCUGCGUCUGCGUGCAGAGGAGGGACAGCGACGCGCGCAUUUCCUUCGAUCUGACCCCCAUUCAGGAAGAGUGCCUACAAAGAUUACAGAACCGGAUUGAGGUGCCUUAUGAUAGUCAAAAUGGAGAGCAUCAGGAAGCACUCAAAGCCCUCUGGCAUGCUUCUUUUCCUGGGACUGAACUUCUAGGACUAGUAUCAGAUCAAUGGAAGGAGAUGGGAUGGCAAGGGAAAGAUCCAUCCACAGAUUUCAGGGGUGGUGGCUUUAUCUCUUUGGAGAAUUUACUUUACUUCGCUAAGAACUAUCCAAAAUCCUUCGAGGAGCUCCUUUGUAAGCAAAAUGGUGACAGAGCAUUAUGGGAAUAUCCAUUUGCUGUAGCUGGAGUAAAUAUUACAUUUAUGCUCAUUCAGAUGCUUGAUCUUCAAGCAGCUAAGCCAAGGUCUUUGAUUGGAGCAGUGUUCCUAAAUUUACUUAUAGAAAACGAUCGAGCUUUUGAUAUUCUUUACUGCAUAACCUUUAAGCUGAUGGAUCGGAAAUGGCUUGAAAUGCACGCCACAUAUAUGGAUUUCAAUACUGUUAUUAAAUCCACACGCCGCCAGCUUGAGAGAGAGCUAUUACUUGAAGAUAUUCAGCAAAUUGAGGACAUGCCGUCAUACAGUUUUCUCGCCCGUUAG
rnacentral:rRNA from 1 species